CCCGCACAAGCGGCGGAGCAUGCGGACUAAUUCGAUGCAACGCGAAGACCUUACCAAGGCUUGACAUACACCGGUAACGCCCAGAGAUGGGUGCCCCUUUGUGGUCGGUGGACAGGUGGUGCAUGGUUGUCGUCAGCUCGUGUCGUGAGAUGUUGGGUUAAGUCCCGCAACGAGCGCAACCCUCGUCCUAUGUUGCCAGCGGGUCAUGCCGGGGACUCAUGGGAGACUGCCGGGGUCAACUCGGAGGAAGGUGGGAUGACGUCAAAUCAUCAUGCCCCUUAUGUCUUGGGCUUCACGCAUGCUACAAUGGCCGGUACAAAGGGCUGCGAUACCGCGAGGUGGAGCGAAUCCCAGAAAGCCGGUCUCAGUUCGGAUUGGGGUCUGCAACUCGACCCCAUGAAGUCGGAGUCGCUAGUAAUCGCAGAUCAGCAACGCUGCGGUGAAUACGUUCCCGGGCCUU
rnacentral:rRNA from 1 species